rnacentral:lncRNA from 1 species
UCAUCAAUUAACACGAGCAUUCGUUUGGUUGUCUUAGCAGAGAGAAGAGUCCACAUGGAAUUGGAGGAAGAUUACGUUCCAAGGAAGGGAAGAGAGAGUAGAGAAGCGUCCAGAGAAGUUGAAACAAAUCAUACUGUUCUUACCUGGCCAGUAUACUCAGUUUCACCCCAAUUACACAGCUGUCCUCAAGACACUCCUGUGUAUCCAGAGCUGUGAGGUGAGAGAAUAAAAUAUCUUGUGGGCGAUGACUUAUAGUUCUG